GUAGGUGGCAAGCGUUGUCCGGAAUUAUUGGGCGUAAAGCGCGCGCAGGCGGUUUUUAAGUCUGAUGUGAAAGCCCACGGCUCAACCGUGGAGGGUCAUUGGAAACUGGAGAACUUGAGUGCAGAAGAGGAGAGCGGAAUUCCACGUGUAGCGGUGAAAUGCGUAGAGAUGUGGAGGAACACCAGUGGCGAAGGCGGCUCUCUGGUCUGUAACUGACGCUGAGGCGCGAAAGCGUGGGGGAGCAAACAGGAUUAGAUACCCUGGUAGUCCACGCCGUAAACGAUGAGUGCUAAGUGUUAGAGGGUUUCCGCCCCCUUUAGUGCUGCAGCAAACGCAUUAAGCACUCCCGCCUGGGGAGUACGGUCGCAAGACUG
rnacentral:rRNA from 1 species